GACGUAGGGCGCGAGCGUUGUCCGGAUUUAUUGGGCGUAAAGAGCUCGUAGGCGGCUUGUCGCGUCGUCCGUGAAAACUUGGGGCUCAACCCCAAGCUUGCGGUCGAUACGGGCAGGCUGGAGUUCGGUAGGGGAGACUGGAAUUCCUGGUGUAGCGGUGAAAUGCGCAGAUAUCAGGAAGAACACCCGUGGCGAAAGCGGCUCUCUGGAACGGUACUGACGCUGAGACGCGAAAGCGUGGGGAGCGAACAGG
rnacentral:rRNA from 1 species